GGAGGACGCGGGCAGUUCUAGUUCUAUUUCACCUCAUAAACGCUCGCUCAGUCUGCGCAAAAUUAUUACCUCAGAAUCGCUCUCCAAGGAUGGUGUUUUUGACGUCUACUACCUGCUGACUACCUACUGCUUCAGAGGACCGACAAGACUAACACUUUCUUUACCAUGGGAAGGAUGGCCAGCCACACAGGAGGGUGAUUUUCAAUGAGGAGAAGGAGAAUGUGCUGACCGAGAUGCAUGCAGGCCAUUUUGGAGUGAAGCACAUUAUUGCCAAAAUCAACUUACGCUUCUUCUGGCGUGGGAUUGUGAAGGAUGUGGACAGCUGAGUCAGUACCUGUCUAGCCUGCCAGAAGUUUGAGAGGGUGAAGACUGUGGCGCCGGAGUUGAAGCCCAUCAGUUGUUUCACCAUGACACAUGAUUGGGGUGGACCUCGUCGGACCCUUCAUGAAAUCCAGGAAUGGCAACAGCUGGUGUCUAACGGCAACCGAUCACUUUUCCAAGUGGAUGUAGGCAAUACCCAUUAAGGACGAGACUGGCGAGGCCACCUCCAAGGCGAUGAUGGACAUCUUCAACACCCACGGUUCUCCCGAGGUCAUCUUGAGUGACCAAGGUUGUGAACUCUGGAACAAGGUUUGCAUGAACGGACCAUCCAGACCCUCAAGACUGCCAUGUAAAAGUUCCUUGACGGGUACCAGGAACGGUGGGAGGACAACCUGAAAGUAAUUUUGUUUGCACACAAAAGCAGCGUCCAGGGCUCCAACUACUACUCACCUUAUUGCCUGCUGUACGGACGGGAGCCACAACUGUUGACUAAGAGCAUAUACCCACGUGGGUGAUUGAAAGAUGAACUGACGUCCACACUCCAGUCGGUUGUAGUAAUGCAAAAAGUUGCCAACCACCAUAUGAAGUCCAAAGAAGAAAAAGCCUGAAGGGAGGAGGAGAGAUGACGAGAAACAAAUUAGGCUUCCCAUUUUAUCUGUGGAUUAAUUGUCGGAGUAGAGGACCUUGUGCAUUUUAGAUCACUGAAACCCCACCUGAUGUGGUAGAAGAUCAGAACGUCUUCAAGGACCACCUUCAGGCACGGGCUGAGAAGGAUGUGGUGGUUUUUGACCAGGUGAGACUGAACAUCGACAAGGCGCAGGUGAAACAGAAGUAGAGCCACCAGAGGAGAAUCAAGAAGGGGACCACGUGCUUUGACAUCUGGGCGAUUGACUUGAUUUGCAAGAAGAACGAAAUGAAGGGUUACCUCGGUGGUAGCCAACAAUCUCCUCCAGUUGGAGCAGUUGGACGGUCAACUAUUGAAAGCCCUGACACCCUACACUUCGGACCAUCAACUGUCCAAGCCACCCAGGAGGUAUCUCAUCCACCAGAGCCAGUGAUUUCGGAUCAGUCUGAUUCUCUGUGCUCUGAGUCAGAGGGGCCCAGCUUGAGGACCUAGGGGUUCUGCCUAAAACCUAGACGUAGAUCCACCUGAUGUCCUCCAUUACAAUCACCCUGCAACUUUUGAUUACAUCAUCUACAGCUACUGUUAUGUUGUCAUUAUCUUCUAAGAAAGUUUUCUUGGACCUACCGAGUGGUGCAGUGGUCUAAUGCACUGCAUCGCAGUGCUAGCUGUGCCACUAGAGAUUUUGGGUUCGAGUCCAGGCUCUCUCGCAGCUGGCCGUGACCGGGAGACCCAUGGGGUGGCACACAAUUGGACUAGCGCCGUCCGAGUUAGGGGAGGGUUUGGCCAUCAGGGAUGUCCUUGUCCCAAUGUUAACAAGGACCUGAGCCCUAGGACCAUGCCUCAGGACUACCUGGUAUGAUGACUCCUUGCUGUCCCCAGUCCACCUGGCCGUGCUGCUGCUCCAGUUUCAACUGUUCUGCCUGCGGCUAUGGAACCCUGACCUGUUCACCGGACGUGCUUGUUGCACCCUCGACAACUACUAUGAUUAUUAUUAUUUGACCAUGCUGGUCAUUUAUGAACAUUUUAACAUUUUAACAUCUUGACUAUGUUCUGUUAUAAUAUCCACCCUGCACAGCCAGAAGAGGACUGGCCACCCCACAUAGCCUGGUUCCUCUCUAGGUUUCUUCCUAGGUUUUUGGCCUUUCUAGGGAGUUUUUCCUAGGGAGUUUUUCCUAGCCACCGUGCUUCUUUCACAUGCUUUGCUUGCUGUUUGGGGUUUUAGGCUGGGUUUCUGUACAGCACUUUGAGAAUAUCAGCUGAUGUACGAAGGGCUAUAUAAAAAUAAAUUUGAUUU
rnacentral:lncRNA from 1 species